GAUGAACGCUGGCGGCGUGCCUAAUACAUGCAAGUCGAGCGAACAGACGCGGAGCUUGCUCCUCUGACGUUAGCUGCGGACGGGUGAUUAACCCGUUGAUAACCUACCUCUAAUACUGAGAUCACUUCGUGAACCCUGUGCUAAUACCGAAUAAUAUAUUCACCCACAUGUUUCAUUAGUGAAAGACGGUUUUGCUGUCACUUAUGGAUGGAUCCACGCCGCAUUAGGUAGUUGGUAAGGUAACGGCUUACCAAGCCAACGAUGCGUAGCCGACCUGAGAGAGUGAUCGGCGACAGUGGAACAGAGACACGGUCCAGACUCCUACGGGAGGCAGAAGUAGAGAAUCUUCCGAAAUGGGCGAGAGCAUGACGGAGCAACGCCGCGUAAGUGAUGAAGGUAUGCGGAUCGGAAAAAAGUGUUAUUAGGGAAGAACAAAUGUGUAAGUAACUAUGCACGUAUUGACGGUACCUAAUCAGAAAGCCACGGCUAACUACGUG
rnacentral:rRNA from 1 species